rnacentral:rRNA from 1 species
GACGAACGCUGGCGGCGUGCUUAACACAUGCAAGUCGAACGGAAAGGCCCUGCUUUUGUGGGGUGCUCGAGUGGCGAACGGGUGAGUAACACGUGAGUAACCUGCCCUUGACUUUGGGAUAACUUCAGGAAACUGGGGCUAAUACCGGAUAGGAGCUCCUGCUGCAUGGUGGGGGUUGGAAAGUUUCGGCGGUUGGGGAUGGACUCGCGGCUUAUCAGCUUGUUGGUGGGGUAGUGGCUUACCAAGGCUUUGACGGGUAGCCGGCCUGAGAGGGUGACCGGCCACAUUGGGACUGAGAUACGGCCCAGACUCCUACGGGAGGCAGCAGUGGGGAAUAUUGCACAAUGGGCCGAAGCCGGAUGCAGAAACGCCGCGUGCGGGAUGACGGCCUUCGGGUUGUAAACCGCUUUCGCCUGUGACGAAGCGUGAGUGACGGUAAUGGGUAAAGAAGCACCGGCUAACUACGUG